GCAUGUGGAAGUUCCCGGGCCACAGAUCAUACCUGAGCCACAAGCAGGUACCCCAGUGGCUAGGUCACCAGGGAACUCCAAGGCAUUCUCACAGGUAAGUCAUUGAGGUCAGAGAGGCCCUGGACCUGCAAGAGCUGACCUGGGCCCAAAUAAUUACUCUUGGGGUCCUGAGGAGGUAGGAAGCAGAGGGUGAUGUGAUGUCUCUGGUGUCAGAUUUCCUGAAUCAGAUGCAGCUCUGCCACGCCCAGCUUCUGUUACCUUCUGAUUUACUUAACCUAGAAAGUAAAAUAUCUCAGUUUCCCUGUAUGUAAAAUGGGACUAAUCACACCAUCUUCCCUGUAGGGUUGUUAGGAUGAUUAAAGAGAUAAUGCUCAGUGCCAGCAUGAAGUGGGGAUCUGAAAGUGUUCACUAGUGUUGUCACCAUUUUUGUGGGCCCACUGUGUGCCAGGCUCUCUCCUGGUCAGAUGCUUUUGCUACAGUUAUCUCAUUAAAGCCUUAUAAUAACAUAUACAUGUUGCUUUUAUUAUUUACUUUUUUUUAACCUGCAAGAAAAUUGACCUCAAAUAAAAUAACUUGUCAAGAAUAACACACAGGAGCCAUUAAGUGAGUCUAAUUCUUUCUUGAUCCAAGUCUGUGUUAACCUGUAUUAUGAUGCUUAGCAUUUGUCAGAGCAGAUAUGGAGCAAUUAUCAGGAACCAAUGGCUAAGUAUAGAGCCAAGAGGCUCGGUUGUGUUUAUAAUGAAAUGAUUCACCACAUCACUCUACACCAAGACCCAGACCCCUCACUCUGGCUAGUAAUGAGAACUCAUAAUUUUUUUUUCUUUUUUGUCUGUACCUGCAGGAUACAGAAGUUCCUGGGCCAGGGAUCGAAUCUGAGCUGAGCUGUGACCUAUAUAUCUCAGUUGCAGCAGUGCUGGAUCCUUAACCCACUGGGCCAUAGCAGGAACUCCGGAAUUCACCCCUUGAUACGUGCUACAUACGGUGAAAGGAAAUUUCCUGUUUAAUACUAACAAGAAUUCUCUGAGGUAUCUACAACUAUCAUCACCAUUUUGCAGAUGAGGAAAUGAGGCUGAUGGCAAUGCUGUCACCCUCCAGUGAUCCUUCUCAGAAAUGGCUCUAGAUGCAGCAUCUCUGCUUGAUUGUAGCAAUCUGACUUUAUUUUAAAAGAUACAUGGAGAAAGGCCACAAUAGCAACUUCUCAUAUCUAGACCUGGAAUAGACAGAAGAGAGCUGUGAAAACCUGGAAAGUACUGCUUUGGGAUUUUCUUAACAUUGAGAAAAUGGAGGAGUCCUUGUUACUAACAGAAUCCUCUUCUUGAAGAAAUGGAAUUUUUUCAUGGAGGAAGAAUUGACAAACAAGGGAGAGCCUCACAAAUAAAACACCUGAAAACAACACCUUAAUACACUUUCAGGUAACCAGAAUAUAAGAAAUUUACCUCAAUAUGACCUUUUAAAAUAAAUCACCAAACAGGGAGUUUGUUGUUUUGGAAAAGAGAAACCACUUCUCGUUUCAACUGCUAUGUUAAAAUUAACAAAUGGAGGAAGAAGUGGAGAAAAUGAGAUUUCAGAACUUUUCCAUUCAGCUCUGGCCUCCUGAGUACCUUCUCCAUGCUGUCAGUCUCUCUCCCUUCCUGCUGUUUCUUUUAAUCCCACAAAGCCAGAAUUUGGUCUUUGUGGUGUUGACCUAAAAACAAUACCUGUAGGGAGCCUAGGCUGAGGGGAGGAGGAUUCUUGGCAUGUUUUUGGCAAUUUGAGCUCACAGAUUAUGUUGAGAUUGAAAAUCAAACUAGAUUUUUAUCUCAGAAAGACGUAUUAAUGCAAAUACAUGCAAUGUAUUACUUAUCAACUUCAAGGGCUGUGGACUCC